GAUGAACGCUGGCGGCGUGCCUAAUACAUGCAAGUCGAGCGAACAGACGAGGAGCUUGCUCCUCUGACGUUAGCGGCGGACGGGUGAGUAACACGUGGAUAACCUACCUAUAAGACUGGGAUAACUUCGGGAAACCGGAGCUAAUACCGGAUAAUAUAUUGAACCGCAUGGUUCAAUAGUGAAAGACGGUUUUGCUGUCACUUAUAGAUGGAUCCGCGCCGCAUUAGCUAGUUGGUAAGGUAACGGCUUACCAAGGCAACGAUGCGUAGCCGACCUGAGAGGGUGAUCGGCCACACUGGAACUGAGACACGGUUCAGACUCCUACGGGAGGCAGCAGUAGGGAAUCUUCCGCAAUGGGCGAAAGCCUGACGGAGCAACGCCGCGUGAGUGAUGAAGGUCUUCGGAUCGUAAAACUCUGUUAUUAGGGAAGAACAAAUGUGUAAGUAACUAUGCACGUCUUGACGGUACCUAAUGAGAAAGCCACGGCUAACUACGU
rnacentral:rRNA from 1 species